UCUCUCUCUGCGGGUUUGUUCUGCUGUAAUAACUGGGUGUAACCCAGUUCCUAAAAUCAUCUCAAACAAAAGAGAAGAAAAGGUAAAACAUUUUAUGUUCAUUGUUCCUGUUCUUACUGUCCUUGUUUAAUAAAAGUGAAACGAGAUCAAUACAUUUAUUUAAACAUAAAAGGGACACAGAUUUAUAUAUGAUAUGCUCUGGUCAAACAAGGGUUAAGUUUUCUCAGAGGGUUGAUGAGCUCUGAUGAGAGCCUAUUGUUUUACUCCACUCCUCGCAUGUCAGCCAAUCGGUGAAGCUCUAGGCAGCUCUUGUCCCUCCUUAGUGCCAGCUCCCAAGUUUGCAGUCUCUUGCUUCUACAGCCGAACAGAGCAGGCGGACUAAAACUUUGUUAUCGAGGGCAGAGCGAAACCGGAAGGUUUACUGAGCUGUGGCUUCACGUAAAUUCUGAGCAUACACUCGACGGCGGUCAGGUUUUUUAUAUGGGAUGAAUCCAAAGACCAGGUCAGCGAUUCCAGAACCCAGAGUGUUCCAGUGUUCACUGGAUGGCGAGCCAACCCAAGAUCCUAGGAGACGAUAUACAUACACACGCACACUCAUUUGCACAUUGAUGGACUACUACCUCUACUGUACGAGUAGUACGGUAGGAUAGACAAUCACACACACUCUUACCAUUGGACGGACUCUAUUGCAAUACACACGUUUGUCAUGGGCCCCACCGGUACCAUUUGGACUUAAAAAAGACUAAUACUUUUACUUGUGCACAAUUUUAUUUUAUUCUAUUGUUUUGCUACUUUGGGGAAAAAUUUUUAUACUGGAAGUUCUGUUAAAACCUGUUGAAAUACUGUGUUGUUUACAAAAUCCUUUAAAAAGGCUUAAAAUCACUAAAGUACUUUUUAAGCCACGCAAAUGUGUUUUGUCUGGUUUCUCUGCCAUUCAUAUACCAGAGCUCUAAGAGUCGUUCUUUAUCUUCUGAUACUAGCCCAAAUUACUCAUUACCUUGGUAGUUAUCCAUUGGUUCUGUAUACAACUCCACCUAAGUGCUACAUGGGGAUUUAGCCUUUUCCUUUUUUCCUUGCUUUUCCUUUGCACUAUAUGAAUUUUAUCAUCAUAGAAGAAAAAUAUUGAAUAUUUCAGUUGUUUCAAGGAGUUAGGAAAUUUCAGACACCCGUAGAUUACCAACCCUGUGGUUCAUCGUUAACUGUAUCCCAUCCUAAAGGUAUGUUUUUAUUGCAUUAGGCAAGUAUGACAAAUGUUGAUUUGGAUUUGAUUCUCUUUGCAAGAACAAAUUGCAGCCUUAUACAUGUAAAGCAGCCGUUGUUUGCUUUUGGGAUUGGUUGGUAAGAAAAAUGAUGACAAGUGCUGGCAUUAAACCGUUCUGUCAGCCUCUGCCUCUCUGACUGUUAGGCCAAAGAAAUAACAGAUCAAAAAAUGGGGGAUUUGAUGUGUUGUGCUUGUCUUGAACAUCCAUCAGCGUGAAGAGUGAGCUCAACUAUGCGAUGUGGCAUCCUGUCAACAGGUUAGAGUCUGCGGACAAAGAGCUGGUGAGAGAUGCAGUGUCACCUUGGCAGCAGAGCACAGUAUUAUUUGUGCAGCAGCCUCAGCAAGCAUUUCUUCCUCUUCUUUGUACGCAGUUCAACACCAUACUUUUCAUAGCUACCAGCUUUACUUUAACUCAUAUAAAGUCCUCCCCAGUUUGCAGUACAAGCUACCAUCAUGUUAUGUAAAGCCACAACAAGAACGGCAACUGGUAAUUAACAUUCAUGUAAAAAAUGAAGUAGACAUUGUAACUUGUUUGGUAUUUAGAGAAACAAAUGUUUGCUCUAAUUUGGUGAUGUUCUCAAAUGAAUAAAAUAAGAAUUAGAGUGACUGAUUAGAUGCCCUUGACUAGAACAUCCACAGGGAGUGACAGGUGAAAUAAGACUUAUGUAAACAAAAAAAAUAGUGGAGGGUUAUGAAGGGCAUCAUGUUGAGUUUCAGUUUAUCACUUUCUGGAGAUACCGUCUGUCAAAGAAACCAAAACUUUCUGUUGUUCUUAUUUUUUUAAUCACUGUAGUUGGUUUGUAUUUUAUCACCAAUGAAAUUGUAGAGACUGAAAAAGUUGGCCUAGCCAUUUUAAGAAUAGUCAGAAUUAUUAGUAAAAGUCAUGAGGAGUGCCCUACUAUUCCUGUCUUUAAUCUUUAACUUUUCACCAUCUGAAAAGUCAUUCUUGAUCUUUUUUCUGUAAUCUUGCAGUUUUAUUUUUUAUUAUUUUCUCAUAUAUUCAGCAAACGCCUCCCCCACCCUUGUUUCCUGCUGUUUAUAGGAUGACUGGAAGGCUUCAGUGAAGCAGCUUCUGUCCACAAAAAUAUCUCUAAAAUGCCGCUUUGUAUUAUCAGAGAUGUAUACUGCAACAGAAAGUCAAUAAACCGCUACAGCAAAGCUUGAAGGUCACGGAAAGUAGUUUUAGUAAGUAAGUAAGUAAGUAAGUAACGUGGUGUGCCCCAGCAGGACUUGCCUUCUGCUUUUGGUUUGGUUGACGUGUAAUAUGUACAGGAGUAUUUCUUGGAUACCUAGGAUAUAAUUUCAGUGUGCUCUAUAUAAAACAAAGAGCUUUUGAAUGAUUACUAUAAGUCACCUAAUUGAUUUGGUGGACUGACAUUUCAAGACCCCAAAGGAAAAAAGUACAUAAACAUAAAAAAUUACACCUUUAACUAUUUUGAGAUACUGCGACUGAGUGGAUACACAUUAUUUUCAUUCAUUCAUGUAUUCUCAAAUUGUCCAUAUUGAAUUUUUAUAAUGGAAAGGCAGUCACAGAUCAUUACUGUGUGUAAGUCUGAACUCUGGGAUCUUUAAUCUGGAAAAGUUGACCUUUUCUUUUAGCUUACAAAAAGGCAAAUUCUAUAUAACCUGGAACAAAAGGGUCAUAUUUUUUUCCUGUUUGUAAGAUUGUAAGAUUCCUUCCAAUAUUUCACACGUCAUUAAUCCUGAUGAGAAUAGCUAAUAGUUAAAUAUAAACCGGAUUCAGUGAACAGUCUCGGAUGACAGUUAGCAAGUUUAAAACGUUUGUUGAGUUGUGAGAGUGUUAGAUUUGAUGACUGCAGUUCGGAGUGAAUAAGCAGUAAGGGGAGCUCACGAGAGCAGAGUUAGAGAGUUAAUGCUGAUUCCAGGGCAGUAGGAACAGCGCUGAGUCUUUUCAAUAUUCUGGGUUGUGUGACUUUUUGUGAAGGUGAGUGAGAGCUCAGGAGGACAACAACGGUGGCAGGUGGGUAUACAAAGGUUGCAAGGCCACGCAGGUGAAGAGUGGGUAGGCAGAUUGUGAGAAGGUGAGUUCCUUCUUUAGUGGUGCUGAUAGUGUUCACAGCCCAGAGGUGAGUAGCGACUCGAACAAAGAGGUUUCCAGUCAGGGUACCAGGCAGACUGCAGAGUGGAGAAGAGAAAACCUCAGUAAAUGGAUGAACAACUCUGAGAUGAGGCAAACCCUAACUGUCUGAACUGUGGCACCACUCCACAGUUGAUGGAUUGCUUUGUACCAAACAGGUUGAAGAACAGAGAAAAGGGGAAAAAAAAGGAAGAAAGAAAAACAAAACCGAGCCCCAGCACAUCUAAGCAUGACAGUAAUAAACAUAUAAUUGCCCAGGUUCUAGUGUAUAUAGUUACUUUUAUAAUAAUGUGAGAUGGGCAAGCACACCAACAGAAUGACGUGUAGGUCUAUGGGUUGCAAACAGAUGGGUACACAGAACUGACUGUCUCACCUCUUCUAGUCUGCAGGCAUGUAUACACAAAGAUGAGGGCAUGUUAUUAUUUUUUAUAUUUUGGAAACCUCAAACUGUUCUUUCCAGAUAAAAAAUUUAUCAAAGAAAAAACAGCCUUCUAAUCACAUUGAUGCUUCACAUUCACAUUUUCUCUGCGUGCCCUGAUGCAGCUGCUGAUUCUGAAUCUUGGAAGUCUCACAAAAUGAACAGUUCCCUUUAAAUUCCUCAGCAUUAGAAAUGCCUCGCAGUUAAGUGUCAUAAUUAUGUAAUUUAAAAGUCUCUUAAUUCCUCUCCGUUUGUAAUCAAUUUUACACCGUGACUAAUAGGGGAACUGAAAGUUUGAAAAUCUCUGCCUCCCAUGUGAAGAUGUGCCACGAUGCAAACAAAGACAGAAAAAGAGAGUUCAUUGAAGAUGAAGCUGCCUUAUGUUUCUAUUGAUCCGCUGAUCUUUGCUGCUGUGAAUGUGCUCGUUUGCCAGAGAAGUGGGAGGAAAGCUGUAGCUAACACAUUUGUAAGAGCUGAGAAUUAUUGAAAUGCACAACCACCUUUCCCAGCACAACUUCAGCAAUGUGGUGAAAAACCAAGUUAGAGUGAGAACAAAGGGCACACUGUGCACACAUAAAAUGCAGUAUAUAGUUCAAUGCGGUCCUCUAAGUCGUGGAGGACUGUUGUCCAUGGAGGACCCAAAUAUUUAUUAUUUAUUUAUUAUUUGAACUAUACAAAAAUUAUGUAUUUUGUAACUGUUUAUGAUACAUUAAAUUAAAUUAUAUUUACAUUAUUAUAAAAUUAACCAAAAUUAACCUUAUAUCUGUAUAUCAGACUUGGGAGUAAAAAGGAAUCUUUAAGCUUUAAAAAAUAGUGACUUUAUUUAUAUUGUGAAACAUAUUGAUUUGAACUGAUAUGAAAAAAAUUAUUGUGAAAAGAUUUUUUUUCCAUAUUGUGCAGCCGAAGUGGAGAAAAUUGCAUAGCAGUUGCAACAGCUAGCACCAAGAGAGGUGACAGUAAAUGUUUAAAAAUGGCUGAUAAUAUGUGAAUUUUCUGCAUAAUCUUUCUUUGAAAUACAACAAAAUCAAUUAUGCAAACACUUUAAAAAACCUAAAUAAAUAUUUUAGUCGCCUUGUUAGUAAAUUUGAUUAAUGAAAAAAAA